rnacentral:tRNA from 1 species
GGGCUAUUAGCUCAGUUGGUUAGAGCGCACCCCUGAUAAGGGUGAGGUCGCUGGUUCAAGUCCAGCAUAGCCC